UUUCCGUAGGUGAACCUGCGGAAGGAUCAUUAAUGAGUUGUCAUGGGGUUCGAUGCUGGCAGCCAAUUUUUGGAUGCAUGUGCUUGCCCUAACAAUCAUCUUCCAGACACCUGUGCACAUUUUUGAGGGAGUCUUGAGUUGGUUGCCGCUCUUGGGUGAUUUUCUCACAUUCCCUUAAAUCAUUAUACGCUAUUAACAAUGUUGAACGUGCUCUGUGCCGCAAGGCUAUUAAUAUAAUACAACUUUUAACAACGGAUCUCUUGGCUCUC
rnacentral:misc_RNA from 1 species